AAGAACCAGCGGAUGAAACUGCUCGCAUGAUCUGAUUUCUAGGGUUUUAGAGGAGGGAUCAGAUCAUGCUGGCAGCUUCAACCCCUGAUGCU
rnacentral:pre_miRNA from 1 species